AACACACACACGCACCACUAACACACACACACACACUGCACUAGCACACAAACACAGACUGCACUAACACACACACACACACACUGCACUAACACACACUGCACCACUAACACACAAACACACACUGCACGAACACACAAAUAUACUGCUCCCCUGCACAAACACACACUGCAGUAACACACACACACACACUGCACUAAAACACAAAC